rnacentral:rRNA from 1 species
AUGGCUUCAUCCGGUUCCAUGACGAGGCCAUCAUGUGCUAACCAAGAAGACAUGCCGAACAAGUGGGAGGACGCAUCUUUGGACAAGGUGAAGGAGAAAGAUGUCAACAUCCCGCCAUGUUGGCGUGGAGAUGUUUGCAAGGUGAAUGUGUCCACCGACCGAAAGAAAUCAUGGACGGAAGGGCGGAGAUAUUUUGUAUGCCCGAACUAUGCUUAUGAUCGUGCACUUCCAACUAACGCCUAUGACCAACCACCGGUAAGCUCGAGAAAAGAUGUCAAAAAGGACCAAUACCAAGAUUGUCUUAGGCGGCAACGGCGGUUCGAAGAAUCGUUUCGAAGAGGCUUAGAGCAAGAGCGUCGUCAGAAGGAGAGGAUGGAGCGGAAGAAACGAGAGGAGGAGAGGGCACGCCAAGUGAAACUUGCUCGUGAGGAGGAGAGGGCAAGAAAGCUUGCAAAGGCUCGCGAGGCGCAAGAGGAGGACUCGGCACAUGACAAGAAGGGGAAACGGCCUCGCUCUACUCAUCAUUUAAACAACCGUGCAGCGCCAGGAACACAGGCGCUGCACUAUACUGUGCAGCGCCCACAGGAUAACUGUCACACAGUACAGUGCAGCGCCUGGCUCAUGGGCGAUGCACUCUGA